GCGCGGCGAUAGCAGGUUGAAUGCACCAGUUCUCAAUAGUUCACUGAAGCAACAUUAAGCGUGGUUAGUACCCCAAUGGGUGACUAUCUGGGCAUUAGCGUGUUGCAGGCU
rnacentral:rRNA from 1 species